UACGUAGGGUGCGAGCGUUGUCCGGAAUUAUUGGGCGUAAAGAGCUCGUAGGCGGUCUGUCGCGUCGGUCGUGAAAACUUGGGGCUUAACCCUGAGCUUGCGGUCGAUACGGGCAUGACUGGAGUUCGGCAGGGGAGACUGGAAUUCCUGGUGUAGCGGUGAAAUGCGCAGAUAUCAGGAGGAACACCGGUGGCGAAGGCGGGUCGCUGGGCCGAUACUGACGCUGAGGAGCGAAAGCGUGGGGAGCAAACAGG
rnacentral:rRNA from 1 species